UACGAAGGGGGCUAGCGUUGCUCGGAAUUACUGGGCGUAAAGCGCACGUAGGCGGCUUGCCAAGUUGGGGGUGAAAUCCCGAGGCUCAACCUCGGAAUUGCCUUCAAAACUGGCAGGCUUGAGUUCGGAAGAGGUGAGUGGAAUUCCCAGUGUAGAGGUGAAAUUCGUAGAGAUUGGGAAGAACACCAGUGGCGAAGGCGGCUCACUGGUCCGCAACUGACGCUGAGGUGCGAAAGCGUGGGGAGCAAACAGG
rnacentral:rRNA from 1 species